rnacentral:misc_RNA from 1 species
GAAAUGCGAUAAGUAAUGUGAAUUGCAGAAUUCAGUGAAUCAUCGAAUCUUUGAACGCACAUUGCGCCCGCCAGUAUUCUGGCGGGCAUGCCUGUUCGAGCGUCAUUUCAACCAUCAAGCCCCCGGCUUGUGUUGGGGACCUGCGGCUGCCCGCAGGCCCUGAAAAACAGUGGCGGGCUCGCUGUCACACCGAGCGUAGUAGCAUACAUUCUCGCUCAGGGCGUGCUGCGGGUUCCGGCCGUUAAACGACCUUCAUAACCCAAGGUUGACCACGGAUCAGGUAGGAAGACCCGCUGAACUUAAGC